rnacentral:lncRNA from 1 species
CUUUGAGAGCGCAUCGAAGUCAAAAUGUUAAAAUUGAUAAAUUUCGGCUUCGAAUAACUUUUGUUUUUAAGGCCAUCCUUUUAUAAUAUUUGGUAGGACUAAAUUUAUAGCCUUUAUCUAAAUUCCUACCGAAGCACUUUAUUCGAUUUCGUCUUUGAUCGCAGUAAAAAUGCAUUUGAAUAAGGCCACCAAAUACAGCGUUUCGAUGUCAACGCUAAUAAUAUAACGUUUAGCGUCUGAGGUUGCGGUCAAAAGAAAGAUGGAAUUAUGGACCAAGACACAGAAAUUGAGGAGAUUAGACGAAAAGGUAUGUUUGGCAUUUGUUUAUUGUAUUAUUUGUACGAAACAAGGGAUAAUAUAUUGAUAUGUUUUGAAAGGCAGGCGUGUGUACUUGUUGACUUGUAUAUUGUAUACAUUCUUGAGCGCUCAAGAACUAUAAUACCUAUAGCGGCCUAUAGCUACAAACCCUUUAAUUAACCCUAUAUUUUCGAAUUUGGAGGGUUUAAAACAUGCGAAAUAUGUUUAAAAUUACGAGCAAUAAUGUGUUGUAUAUUAUAUUUUCACAUUGACAGUUGUCACAGAUUUAUUAUAAGAAGAUUGACUAUAGACAAUAUGCCAUGUUCCAUGAUAGGGUUUUGAGGGAUUUGUAAGUAAUCUUUGAGGGAACUGGCUCAGUGUUACAUUUCAGCACAUAGCAUGCAAUUCUGACAAUGUAAACUCUGUUAUUAUAUAAAUGUGAAGUUUUUUUAACUUUUAAGUUAGAAAAAUCUUUUGAAUAUUGAAACAAACCUAUAAUUGCUUGCAAAUUCAGGUAAACCACAGGCACAGCUGGCAGCAUGGCCUAAGUGUUGUAUUUGUACACAGACUUGACUUAUAGUUUCAGCAAUCUAUGAACUCAUUGAGUCGCAUUGCGCCCUCACCGGCCUGAUGGGCCCUACUUUAUUAUUUUACUUUGUCUAACGCCAGACGAUUUUACUUGUCAAGGGGAGAGUGCUGGCGCAGCUUAAUUGGUUAACUAGCCUAUAUGUCUAUGUGUCUAGUUAGUGCAUUGAGUUACAUUGCACCCUAUGUUAUUAUUUUACUCUGUCAGUCUCUAUCUACCAGCAGACAAGUUAACUUGUCAACGGAGAGUGCUGGCGCUUAAUAGUUAACUAGCUUAUAUGUCUAUGUGUCUAGUUAACCCAUUGAGUCGCACUGCGCCCCGAUGCGCCCUACUUUAUUAUUUUACUCUGUCUAACGGCAGACGAUUUUACUUGUCAAGAGGAGAGCGCUGGUGCUUAAACGGCUUAAUUAUUAACUACCCUAGUAUAUGUCUUUAUGUCUAGUUAGUGCAUUGAGUCACAUUGCACCCUGAUGCACCCUAUGUUAUUAUUUUAGUCUCUAACGGCAGAGAAGUUAACUUGUCAACAGAGAGGGCUGGCGCUUAGUGGUUGACAAGCUUAUAUGUCUGUGUGUCUAGUUAACCCAUUGAGUCGCACUGUGCCCUGAUGCAUGUGCCCUACUUUAUUAUUUUACUCUGUCUAAGGGCAGACCAUUUUACUUGUCAAGGGGAGAGCACUGGUGCUUAAACAACUUAAUGAUUGACUACCCUAUAUGUCUUUGUGUCUACUGUAGUUAUAGUGCAUUGACUCACAUUGCACCCUGAUGCACCCUAUGUUAUUAUUUUACUCUGUCAGUCUCUAUUUAAUGGCAGACAAGUUAACUUGUCAACAGAGAGGGCUUGCACUUAAUGGUUGACAGGCUUAUAUGUCUAUGUGUCUAGUAACCCAUUGAGUCGCACUGCGCCCUGAUGCGCCCUACUUUAUUAUUUUGCUCUGUCUAACAGCAGACGAUUUUACUUGUCAAGGGGAGAGGGCUGGCGCUUAAUGAUUUAAGUUCUGAAAGUAGCAAGGAAAACCACCCAUGUGAGGCUUAUGUUUUUAUAUACCAAUGAUACAGCCACAAUACAUCCAUGGAUUGUCGGUCCACCUUUUGUGUUAACUCAGUAAGCCGCAGUGUUUCCCAGUGUCACCAUCAGUCAUUUGCUUGUUUUGUAUAUGCUAUACUGAGUAGAUAUGUGAUGUGCCCCAAAACAGUCGUGUUUACAGGCUAUACCUGUAGUAAUUGGGCUACUUUGUUAUUUCGGUCUUAUAUCAGUCAGAUAUAUAAAUUUACCCUUAAAGAGAGUUACCAUACUGUAAGAAUAUUCGGUUUAUCAUUUAUAGUGAUGCAAGAUUUUUGAUCUCUAAACCUUUACCAUUUUCUUCUAGGUCUUGCAAGGCAAAGUUUAUUUACUAAUGGCAGAAUAUUGUGAAAUAAUGUGUCACUGAGUUUGGAUUAUUCCUGCCUACUAUACUGAACUAUAUGUGUAUUAAGUUUGACUUUGACUGUAAUAUUAACCCUGUCAGUAAUUGCCAAGUGCAAGUGAGGGUUGAUCUAAUUAAAAAUGUAUUAUUAUGUAUUAUUGCAAAUAGUGUUCUCAAUUAAAUUGCCUGGUCUAAUAAAUAUUUUUACCAGGACUAUUGGCAAAUAUUGUUCCCAGUAUUGCUCCUUAUGUUCAGUAGUGUACUAAACAUUUGACCAUGGAAUAACAAAUUCAUAAACUUUUUUAUCCAGUG